UUGAACGCUGGCGGCAUGCCUUACACAUGCAAGUCGAACGGUAACAGGUCUUCGGAUGCUGACGAGUGGCGAACGGGUGAGUAAUACAUCGGAACGUGCCCGAUCGUGGGGGAUAACGGAGCGAAAGCUUUGCUAAUACCGCAUACGAUCUACGGAUGAAAGCAGGGGACCGCAAGGCCUUGCGCGGACGGAGCGGCCGAUGGCAGAUUAGGUAGUUGGUGGGAUAAAAGCUUACCAAGCCGACGAUCUGUAGCUGGUCUGAGAGGACGACCAGCCACACUGGGACUGAGACACGGACCAGACGCCUACGGGAGGCAGCAGUGGGGAAUUUUGGACAAUGGGCGAAAGCCUGAUCCAGCCAUGCCGCGUGCAGGAUGAAGGCCUGCGGGUUGUAAAGCUCGUUCAGCAGGAGCGAAACGGUCGUUUUUAAUACAGACGGCUAAUGACGGUACCUGCAGAAGAAGCACUGGCUAACUACGU
rnacentral:rRNA from 1 species